AAAGUAAAUAUCUUUAUCACAUUUUUUUUAAAAGAAAAAUGAGGAAAGUCUGGACACUAAAGAGAAAUACAACGGAUAACAUCCGUCCAUCGUGAGAUGAGGAAUAGUGCAACAGAAAGUAUGUAUAGUAUAAUAAUUUUAAUUUUAUUAUAUUUUAUAGUGAAAUCUUGUAAACUCUGUAUAGUGAAAUGUCAUAAUAUAAUAUACCAUUACUUAUUUUCUCGAUAAAAAAUGGUUGGUAGACAGAUAAAGAUAUAUAUGGUAACAUAUAUACUAGAUAAAUGAUAAAGUAUAUAUAUAUAUAUAUAUAUAACAGAAUCCGGCUUAUAUAUUUACUUUAUUU
rnacentral:RNase_P_RNA from 1 species